AUUCCCAGCAAUAUAAAUUAAGCAAAUUCCUUAGUUCAGUUCACUAUUUUCUGUUUAUAGGUCUGAAGUGUACCAGUUUCUCUUUGACCUGUGCCAACUCUGGUUACCCCGCGUUUGUCAAGUACACGUGUACUUGUCGCUGUCCCAAGGGUCUGGAUCCCUCUACCGGAUGUCCGACUCAUUUUGAUGGGGGAUCGAAUGAUUUCAACAAUCAUCACCUUUGACCGUCUGACACCUUUACCAGAUUAAGUACCUGGAUACAUGUAACUGGCAGUCUCAGUGGGUUUUAUGAAGGCAGUUUUACACAUCAUCUUAAAGACACCAGGAUGGAGCACACAAGUUCCACAUUUAGUGCUGACAUCAUUUUUAAGCCCACCUCUACAUUUUACAAAUUUUGUGCUAAGAAGAAAAUGGAAGAAAAUAGAAUUUCGCCAAGCUGGCCUGCAGGAAAAUAUUGUAUGGAAAAUAUUGUAUCUACUGCCAAGGAGGGGUUUGUCCCAUUGGCUUCAGUGGUGGAUAUAUACAGUAUGAUGACACCAUGAAUCCAUAGCAUUCAGAUAUUCUCGGCAUUCUUCCUAAAGGUGACUUCACGGCUGACACAGGUUCUAUUUCUGUUGUCGCAGUGACUGAUCUACAUCAUCCGGUUAUCCUACCCUCAAGGAGCCGUUUGUCUUAUUUCCGGACACCUCUGCUUGACAGAAUGCAAAGUUUUGAUGACAAUGCAGAGUCGAGAUAUUGUGACAAAGACAUGCCAGCUUGAAGAAGACCAUCCAGUGAUCAUGGUGUUCCACUCAAUUUUUCAGAAUUAUGUGUCAGAUUGAAAUUCAUCUUAUGGUGGACAAAACAAUCAGGAUAUUCUUCUGGAUCUAGUCCAAAGUAUUGACAGAACCAAAAAAUACCUGAUAGUCUGCAAAUGGAGUGAUCAUUCUGAUUGGAUGAACCAGGCAACACUGAUUAUCGCAAGAAAUUUUAGGAUAGAGACUCCAUCUUCAUUCAUAAA